UACGUAGGGACCAAGCGUUGUUCGGAAUUACUGGGCGUAAAGCGCGCGUAGGCGGACCUGCAAGUCGGGGGUGAAAGCCCGAGGCUCAACCUCGGAACUGCCUUCGAUACUGCGGGUCUCGAGUCCGGGAGAGGUGAGUGGAAUUCCUAGUGUAGAGGUGAAAUUCGUAGAUAUUAGGAAGAACACCAGUGGCGAAGGCGGCUCACUGGCCCGGUACUGACGCUGAGGCGCGAAAGCGUGGGGAGCAAACAGG
rnacentral:rRNA from 1 species